CGAGGUAGAUAGGCUGGGGGUGGAAGUGCAGCAAUGCAUGGAGCUGACCAGUACUAAUCGGUCGAGGGCUUAUCCA
rnacentral:rRNA from 1 species